rnacentral:rRNA from 1 species
CAGCAGUGAGGAAUAUUGGUCAAUGGGCGGGAGCCUGAACCAGCCAAGUAGCGUGCGGGAUGAAGGCCCUUGUGGUCGUAAACCGCUUUUAUCAGUGAAUAAAGUGCACCACGUGUGGUGUCAUUGCAGGUAGCUGAAGAAAAAGGACCGGCUAAUUCCGUGCCAGCAGCCGCGGUAAUACGGAAGGUCCGGGCGUUAUCCGGAAUUAUUGGGUUUAAAGGGAGCGCAGGCGGGAGUAUAAGUCAGCUGUUAAAUAUCAGAGCCCAACUCUGUUAUGCAGUUGAAACUAUAUUUCUUGAGUACGCACAGGGAUGGCGGAAUUCAGGGUGUAGCGGUGAAAUGCUUAGAUAUCCUGAAGAACUCCGAUCGCGAAGGCAGCCAUCCGGAGCGUAACUGACGCUGAGGCUCGAAGGUGCGGGUAUCGAACAGGAUUAGA